AGGAGGGGCGGAGCGAGAGGGGCCGGGAGAGCCGCCGGGACCGCCCCGCGCCGGCCGCGCCGAGAGAUCCUUUCUCCUUGCGGCGGCCAAGGGAGUGUGGGCAGCUGCAAGCGGCUCUCGGCUGCACAAACAGGAGGGUCCGUGCUUAGAGCCUCCCCCCUUCCCGGGAAAGUACCCGUCACCCUUCCAGAGGCUGCCCGUCGCUCACACCGACUCGGGGGCCCUUCACCCGAGCCAGCCGCCGACACCGCUCCGCAGCCCGUGGCCUUUGUGCUGGAGGCGCUUGCCAGGGGCGGCCGUCGCUCCUCGCAGCCCGCGGAGCCCUUUCUCAGAGCCCUUCCCUCCCCGCAGGGAUCCGCGGCGCACGCGGAGGUGACGCGGUGCCCAGCAUCGCUCGGCAGGGAUGCUCGCCGUGCCUCUCCCACUGGAAUUGAACACUUGGUUACACCAACAUGCGCUGCUGUUGCUACCGCGAGCCCACAGACGCCCCCCCGACACCUGACAGGGCGGCUGUGCCAUCGCUGGGCUGGCAGCUGUGCUCCGUAUAACCAGUCACCUUCCACCAGGAGAUGCCCAUGCACUCCACAACAGAAGACAGUGUAUCUCAGGCCAAGAGAAGCAAUAACCCUCGGAAAGCUUUCCUAGAUAGUGCUGACCAUAAAUCAGACCUGCUGGAGAAAACAGUCCCACGACUAUUGUGCAGCAGUCCCUGCACGGCUCUGCAGUAGGAAUCACUGAGUCACCAGCGCAGACCAUUGCUAGGCCAAGGAACUGCAGUUCUAAAAUUCAUAGCUGUGCCCUGGAUUAUGACAUGGUCAAAAUUACUCAAAGUAAAAAUAAUUAACAAAUACAAGCUAUAUUUGCAUUAUAUGAAAAACACACAUUAACAUCCAACACCAUUUAUUUUCCAGACCACAUGGUACAACAGUAAUUUUCCAGGUUAUUGAGAAGAGAGCAGAUUAACACCAAUGCCCAACAUAAUGCCAGCCAUCACCUACUAGUUAUAUUGAAAGAUAAACAACUGAUUUUUUUUUUCUGGUGCAAGUCAAAUGCUUUCACACCAGAAAGCCCAACAGGUUUCUGUUAUGUUUCAUUUCGAUAUUUUUAAAUAAGACAGCUUGGCAUUCCAAAGAUGGAUAUGUAUUGAUGAAUCAAGAAGGAAAGCCACAUGCUGAGAAAUGAAUAGCAGUAGGAGAAGAAAACUAGUGUAUCUUAUUGUGCAUGGAAACAUACACUAGGAAUAAACAGAUCUGAUUAAGUAAAAAUAGAUAAUGGCAUAAGUAUUUAAAGGCAUACAUUUAUUAUUCAUACUAAUAGUAUACGUCCAUUCUGAAUAAAGGUUCAGUUACUUGAAGGAGA